rnacentral:rRNA from 1 species
GACGAACGCUGGCGGCGUGCUUAACACAUGCAAGUCGAACGGAAAGGCCCUGCUCUUGUGGGGUGCUCGAGUGGCGAACGGGUGAGUAACACGUGAGUAACCUGCCCUUGACUUUGGGAUAACUUCAGGAAACUGGGGCUAAUACCGGAUAGGAGCUCCUGCUGCAUGGUGGGGGUUGGAAAGAUUCGGCGGUUGGGGCUGGACUCGCGGCUUAUCAGCUUGUUGGUGGGGUAGUGGCUUACCAAGGCUUUGACGGGUAGCCGGCCUGAGAGGGUGACCGGCCACAUUGGGACUGAGGUACGGCCCAGACUCCUACGGGAGGCAGCAGUGGGGAAUAUUGCACAAUGGGCGGAAGCCUGAUGCAGCAACGCCGCGUGCGUGAUGACGGCCUUCGGGUUGUAAACCGCUUUCGCCUGUGACGAAGCGUGAGUGACGGUAAUGGGUAAAGAAGCACCGGCUAACUACGUG